rnacentral:tRNA from 1 species
AUUUAUAUAGUUUAAUAAAAAUAUUAUAUUUUCAUUAUAAAGAUAAUAAAAUUAUUUAUAAAUU